CUGCAGAAAAACCAGCACGAGUUUCUUUGCAACUAUGACCAAACACGCCACAUUUGAGACAGGCAACCGGCUUCCAUUCGAACUCCACUUCCACCACAUCCGUUUUCCCGUCCGUGAUUAAGUCAAUGGUCUCGCAAAAAGUUUGCUGCACUGUGAUUUCCACACAUACCCAUGCAAAUGACAACAUGGACAUUUGCUCCGUUCUCUUGUCCACAUAGAGUGGCCUUCCAAUAGCAC
rnacentral:lncRNA from 1 species